UACAGAGGGGGCGAGCGUUGUUCGGAAUUACUGGGCGUAAAGUGUGCGCAGGCGGCCGAGCAAGUCGAGUGUGAAAGCCCCGAGCUUAACUUGGGAACUGCGCUCGAAACUACUUGGCUAGAGUGUGGCAGAGGGAGGUGGAAUUCCACGUGUAGCGGUGAAAUGCGUAGAGAUGUGGAGGAACACCGAUGGCGAAGGCAGCCUCCUGGGCCAACACUGACGCUCAUGCACGAAAGCGUGGGGAGCAAACAGG
rnacentral:rRNA from 1 species